AUGGCAGACCUCAACCAAGUCGUCCGCUCGGUGCGGCUGCUCAGGAUUCAGGAGUUCAGCUCGAUGAGGGGCGGCGAGUCUGGCUUCGAAGCCAAAUGGGAUGUUGAUGGGUACGAGUGGCAAGUAAAUCUCAUUUUUGCAAGGAGACCGUAUGUGGUUCCGGCUCUUUGUUUUCUAAGCGAAGCCCGCACACAGCGCGGCGUGAGGGCGACCCUGGCCUGUCGCCUGGUAGAUCCAAGCGGGGAGCUUGAACCAGCUCACGAGGGUAGUGUGUCAGCAACCUUCUAUCAUCCCCAAGAGUUCGAACUAUUGUGCCCCCUGGAUCUCAUAGAUAGAGAUUUCAUACCAUCUGGUUAUCUCAAGAACGAUACUUUGACUCUGUGCUGUUCCAUCACAGUGUACAAGGAAUCACCAGCAGCACCAACCAUCCCAGCUGAAGAAGCGAUCGCGCCACCGUCCUCCAACUUGCACCAGCAUCUCGGUGAGCUCCUUCAGAGUGAGACGGGAGCCGAUGUCAACUUUCUUGUCGGCAAAGAGUCUUUUGCUGCGCAUAAGAACAUACUUGCCGCGAGGUCUCCGGUUUUCAAUGCCCAGUUCUUCGGAGACAUUAAAGACAAGUGUUCGGCACGCGUGGAGAUCGAGGACAUGGAGGUGGCCGCAUUCAGGGCCAUGCUGCACUUCAUCUACACCGACACGGUGCCCGAGCUUGAUCACCCGCUCCAGGAGGUGACAACAAUGGCUCAGCAUUUGCUUGCAGCCUCAGACAGGUACCAACUCGACAGGCUCAAGCUGAUUUGCGAAAUAAAGCUCUCAGGCGGCAUCACCGUCGACACCGCAGCCACAACUCUUGCCUUGGCAGAGCAGCACAAUUGCCUGAAGCUCAAGGCCAAAUGUAUCAAGUUCAUCGUCAGCACUCCCGUGGUUCUUGGUGAUGUGUUGGCGACCGAGGGGUAUAAGCACCUCGAGGCAAGCUGCCCUUUGGUGUUGACCGAGCUUCUCAAGUCUGUCCAUGUGACGAAGAGUUGA
rnacentral:rRNA from 1 species